rnacentral:rRNA from 1 species
AGCGAACGCUGGCGGCAGGCCUAACACAUGCAAGUCGAACGAAGUCUUCGGACUUAGUGGCGGACGGGUGAGUAACACGUGGGAACGUGCCUUUAGGUUCGGAAUAACUCAGGGAAACUUGUGCUAAUACCGAAUGUGCCCUUCGGGGGAAAGAUUUAUCGCCUUUGGAGCGGCCCGCGUCUGAUUAGCUUGUUGGUGAGGUAAUGGCUCACCAAGGCUACGAUCAGUAGCUGGUCUGAGAGGAUGGCCAGCCACACUGGGACUGAGACACGGCCCAGACUCCUACGGGAGGCAGCAGUGGGGAAUCUUGCGCAAUGGGCGAAAGCCUGACGCAGCCAUGCCGCGUGGAUGAUGAAGGUCUUAGGAUUGUAAAAUCCUUUCACCGGGGACGAUAAUGACGGUACCCGGAGAAGAAGCCCCGGCUAACUUCGUGCCAGCAGCCGCCGUAACAC